UACGUAGGGUCCGAGCGUUGUCCGGAAUUAUUGGGCGUAAAGGGCUCGUAGGCGGUUUGUCGCGUCGGGAGUGAAAACCUUGGGCUUAACUCAGGGCUUGCUUUCGAUACGGGCAGACUAGAGGUAUGCAGGGGAGAACGGAAUUCCUGGUGUAGCGGUGAAAUGCGCAGAUAUCAGGAGGAACACCGGUGGCGAAGGCGGGUCUCUGGGCAGUAACUGACGCUGAGGAGCGAAAGCGUGGGGAGCGAACAGG
rnacentral:rRNA from 1 species